rnacentral:rRNA from 1 species
GACGAACGCUGGCGGCGUGCUUAACACAUGCAAGUCGAACGGUAAGGCCCUUCGGGGUACACGAGUGGCGAACGGGUGAGUAACACGUGGGUGAUCUGCCCUGCACUUCGGGAUAAGCCUGGGAAACUGGGUCUAAUACCGGAUAGGACCACUGCCUGCAUGGGUGGUGGUGGAAAGCUUUUGCGGUGUGGGAUGGGCCCGCGGCCUAUCAGCUUGUUGGUGGGGUGAUGGCCUGCCAAGGCGACGACGGGUAGCCGGCCUGAGGGGGUGACCGGCCACACUGGGACUGAGCUACGGCCCAGACUCCUACGGGAGGCAGCAGUGGGGAAUAUUGCACAAUGGGCGCAAGCCUGCUGCAGCGACGCCGCGUGAGGGAUGACGGCCUUCGGGUUGUAAACCUCUUUCAGCACCGACGAAACGCAAGUGACGGUAGGUGCAGAAGAAGGACCGGCCAACUACGUGCCAGCCGCCGCAGUAA